rnacentral:rRNA from 1 species
UACGAAGGGGGCUAGCGUUGCUCGGAAUGACUGGGCGUAAAGAGCGUGUAGGCGGCCAGGUAGGUCGGUUGUGAAAACUGGAGGCUCAACCUUCAGAGGUCGACCGAAACCAUCUGGCUAGAGUCCGGGAGAGGAGAGUGGAAUUCCCGGUGUAGCGGUGAAAUGCGCAGAUAUCGGGAAGAACACCCGUGGCUAAGGCGGCUCUCUAGUACGGUACUGACGCUGAGACGCGAAAGCGUGGGGAGCGAACAGG